GAGGUUUCAGGUGGAGGAAGGUGGUGGUGGUCGGUGGAGGAGGUGAGAAGGUCAUCAUUAGAGAAGUCUAAAAGGUCAUCAAUGAGAAAAUAAUCAGGUGCGCUGGUAGAGACUCCUCCAUAGACAUUCAUUUUUGUGUGUGUGUUUUUAUUAUUUGAUGUGGGCUUUAAUUAUUUCCCUCUCCAGCUCUUACUCUUGGAGAGGAAGGAUGCAUAGGAUAAAGAAACCCAAGAGAGAGCCUAGCUACAGAAAACUAGAGGAUUGAGUUGCUCCCCAUCUCUCUCUCUCUCUGAAGGGAGCAAAAUGGAGGAGAGGGUAGG
rnacentral:lncRNA from 1 species